UACGUAGGUGGCAAGCGUUGUCCGGAUUUACUGGGCGUAAGAGCGCGCAGGCGGUCGUUCAAGUCGCGUGUGAAAGCCCCCGGCUCAACUGGGGAGGGUCACGCGAUACUGAUCGACUCGAAGGCAGGAGAGGGUAGUGGAAUUCCCGGUGUAGCGGUGAAAUGCGCAGAUAUCGGGAAGAACACCCGUGGCUAAGGCGGCUCUCUAGUACGGUACUGGACGCUGAGACGCGAAAGCGUGGGGAGCGAACGAGG
rnacentral:rRNA from 1 species